UUAAAUACCUCGGGGUGCCAAGGAGACCUUUGGCUGAGAGCAGACCCGUAGAACCUGAACCGGCUAGAACCGGCGGAGGGAAGGUUUCGGAGUUCCUC
rfam:Roseobacter sp. MedPE-SWchi Roseobacter-sp-MedPE-SWchi-C9, whole genome shotgun sequence.